GUCCUUGUAGUGCAGUGGGUAGCGCGUUGGACUUCUAACCCAAAGGUCGUGGGUUCAAAUCCCACGAAGGAUA